CUGUUCCUACUUUCUGUCCCUCUGUUACCUCCUAGCCCUCGUGUCUGUUCUACUUUCUGUCUAUCUCUGUGCACCCAUAUCAGCAGCGCCAACCGUAGCUCCCCCAUCUCCCGGCAAAUAUUCAAGGUAUGUAACCUCGAGAACAUAAGCCUCUUUAUAUUUCCCCCUGGCCGCCUCGACGUUUAUCUGAAGGAAGCUCUAUCAUGUUAGUGCACUAACUAGCUGGCUGGAGUAGCACAGCGCUGCCCACUCUGCCCUCCCCCUGGUUUAGUUUUACUUUGUUUCAAUCUGAAUGUGCACACCAAAUCUAGCUAGUGGACGUACAUAAGAGAGAGAUCGUGUGUGUGUGUGUGGUCUCACUAAGACAGGCCCAGGAGUUGUGGCAGGUCUAUUGUAUACAUCCCGUGUUCAAGAGAGCCACCAUUUCCAGCCAGUAACAACAAUAGAAGCCAACGGUAUCACACUCCAGGGCGACCUACAAACCUAAAUAUGUUUAGUGGUAUUGCUCCCAGGCUUACCCGCUGUAACAACUGGGUUGUACCCGCCAGCUGUGACCUGCUUCCUAGAACAAUACACAGCAGUACUAAGGAGACAGAGGACAAUCUUCAGUUUGAUGAAAAGCUUUCUACCAAGUGACCUGACCAUGGCCAAACAAAGCAAGUCAUUCAAAGUUCAAGUAGCUGACCUUGCUUUAAUUAGGUUAGUACAAGUAUUUAUGUCAUCGUAUGGAGCGAUGUUUCUAAAACGACAAUCUGUGGUGGGGUGCUAGUCAUAGUGUCUGCACUUGACCAAACUGAAAUGGAAGAACAUUUCUCAAGCUCAACUGUUGUCAGUCAAAUAUAUUGGUUUUCAUACAUGUAAACUUUCUUUGACUAGCUUGGAGAACUAUUUUAAAAUUGUUUCUUUUCUAGGCUGUUUGUACUACAGCCUUUAGAAAAUAGUCUAUAUAUGCUGGGAACUGUGCAAGGGAACUAUGACGAAUGGAAAUUUAAAAAAAAACGUUAAAGGGAACAUAGUCGUGUCUGUGUUAGAUGAACAAAGACGUUAAAGGGAACAUAGUCUUGUCUGUGUUAGUCGAACAAAGACGUUAAAGGGAACAUAGUCGUGUCUGUGUUAGGCGAACAAAGACGUUUUUACGUUUGGGGAAACUAAAUCUUGUUAAUGACUACUAAAGAUAGUGAUGUUGACGUCUCGGUGAACAUAGACAUAUUGUCAGCUUGGUAAACGUAGUCAUAUUGUCAGCUUGGUAAACGUAGCCGUAUUGUCAGCUUGGUAAACGUAGUCAUAUUGUCAGCUUGGUAAACGUAGUCAUAUUGCCAGCUUGGUAAACGUAGUCAUAUUGCCAGCUUGGUAAACGUAGUCAUAUUGUCAACUUGGUAAACGUAGUCAUAUUGUCAGAUUGGUAAACGUAGUCAUAUUGUCAGCUUGGUAAACGUAGCCGUAUUGUCAGCUUGGUAAACGUAGUCAUAUUGUCCGCGUGAUAAACGUAGUCAUAUUGUCAGCUUGGUAAACGUAGUCAUAUUGUCAACUUGGUAAAUGUGGCCGUAUUGUCAGCUUGGUAAACGUAGUCUUAUUGUCAGCUUGGUAAACGUAGUCAUAUUGUCAGAUUGGUAAAUGUAGUCAUAUUGUCAGUUUGGUAUACGAAGUCAUAUUGUCAGCUUGGUAAAUGUAGUCAUAUUGUCAGCUUGGUAAAUGUAGUCAUGUUACCAUCUUGGUAAAAGUAGUCUUAUUGUCAGCUUGGUAAACGUAAUCAUAUUGUCAGCUUGGUAAACGUAGUCAUAUUGUCAGAUUGGUAAACGUAGUCAUAUUGCCAGUUUGGUAUACAUAGUCAUAUUGUCAGCUUGGUAAACGUAGUCAUAUUGUCAGCUUGGUAAACGUAGUCAUAUUACCAUCUCGGUAAAAGUAGUCAUAUUGUCAGCUUGGUAAACGUAAUCAUAUUGUCAUCUUGGUAAACGUAGUCAUAUUGUCAGCUUGGUAAAUGUAGCUGUAUUGUCAGCUUGGUAAACGUAGCUGUUUUGUCAGCUUGGUAAACAUAGUUAUAUUGUUAGCUUGGUAAACGUAGUCAUAUUGUUAGCUUGAUAAAGGUAGUCAUAUUGUCAGCUUGGUAAACGUAGUCAUAUUGUCAGCUUGGUAAACGUAGCCGUAUUGUCAGCUUGGUAAACGUAGCCGUAUCGACAUAUUAGCGAAUAUAGUGGUAUUGCUGGUUUGUCUAACAUAGACAUAUUGUCACAUUUUGUAAACGUAGCCGUGUUGCCGUAUGAGUGAGCGUAGUCGUAUUGUCAUCUUGGUAAAGGUAGUCAUAUUGAUUUCUUAGUAGACGCGGUCGUAUUGUUAUCUUGGUAAAGGUAGUUAAAUUGAUGUCUUAGUAGACGCGGUCGUAUUGUCAUCUUGGUAAAGGUAUUCAUAUUGAUGUCUUAGUAGACAUAGAUGUAUUGACAUGUUGUUGAACACAGUCGUAGUUGUGACUUGGUAGACAUAGAUGUAUUGACGUCUUGAACAACGUAGUCGUGUUGACGUCCUGGUCUACGUUGUUGUAGUAUCACCUUGGCUAACAGAUGUUUUGCCGUCUUGGUAAUUAUAAUCGUAAUGACAUCUUAGUAAAUAUAGUCCUAUUGCCGUCUUGGUAAUUAUAGUUGUAAUGACAUCUUAGUAAACAAAGUCCUAUUGCCGUCUUGGUAAUUAUAGUCGUAAUGACAUCUUAGUAAACAAAGUCGUAUUGACGUCUUGGUAAUUAUAGUCGUAAUGACAUCUUAGUAAACAAAGUCGUAUUGACGUCUUGGUAAUUAUAGUCGUAAUGACAUCUUAGUAAACAAAGUCGUAUUGACGUCUUGGUAAUUAUAGUCGUAAUGACAUCUUAGUAAACAAAGUCGUAUUGACGUCUUGGUAAUUAUAGUCGUAAUGACAUCUUAGUAAACAAAGUCGUAUUGACGUCUUGGUAAUUAUAGUCGUAAUGACAUCUUAGUAAACAAAGUCGUAUUGACGUCUUGGUAAUUAUAGUCGUAAUGACAUCUUAGUAAACAAAGUCGUAUUGACGUCUUGGUAAACAUGAUCAUGUCCGGGACAAGUCCAAUGGGAUCUAAAACAAAUACUGUUCACUUUCUGGCGACAACAAAGAGGUAAGCUGUUCCCAUUUCAGACCUUGUGGUUUAUAGGGCAGGUAUAGUAAAGGUCAUCUGUCUUUGGCGCACGCUUAACGAGGGUGUCAUGUGGCCAGCACAACAACCAACCACCUUUACUUUUCCCCAACCAAUGCCAGGUACCCAUUAGAGCUUGAGUGGAUUCAAAUGCGCUUAAGGAUCCCGAAAUUAAAACUCCAAGUCUUCACCAGGAUUCGAACCCGGGACCUCCGCUCAGGUGACUUUGGAUAUUUUGUUUUUAAAACGUGUAUUCUGUUUCAGUCUAUUGAUUCCAAUGUACGCGAGUGAUAAUAGCAAACAGCACUGACUGUUCCAUGUUUAUAAAUUCUUGCAGUAAGUGUGUUCCCCCUCUCCACCCUGCCUUCCACUAUUGUCCUCAAGCGUUGUGUUAGUUCUGUCUGCUGCUACGUUGAGAUAAAGCUACUUUCUAAUUACACGCCGUGUGUACUGGAGCUAAUUGUUUUGGAUGUGUAGACUAGCCUGCAAGCACACGGUCUUGUUUCAUUAGAAAGUCUUUUCUUCCAGGCCAUUCGGAGAUUUGGUUUAGCAAGGGGACACAAUUCACGCUUUCUUCAUAAAGCUCUAGGCCUACAAGAUCUACACAACUCGACUUAUCUAGAUGUAGUCUAGUUCUUAAAUAUACUUCCUGGUCUAGAAAUGGAAUUUUUUAAAAGUGCAAAUCAGGUAGUUUUAUCUUGAUCUAAUCUAUCUAUCUAUCUAUCUAUCUAUCUAUCUAUCUAUCUAUCUAUCUAUCUAUCUAUCUAUCUAUCUAUCUAUCUGUCUAACUAUCUCUCUAUCUGUCUGUCUGUCUGUCUGUAUAUCUAUCUAUCUGUCUGUCUGUCUGUCUGUCUGUCUGUCUGUCUGCGUGUCUAUCUAUCUAUCUAUCUAUCUAUCUGUCUAUCUAUCUCUCUGUCUGUCUGUCUGUCUUUCUGUCUAUCUAUCUAUCUAUCUAUCUAUCUAUCUAUCUAUCUAUGCAUAAAUGUAUGUAUCUAUUUAAAUAUGUAUAGGCCUAUCUAUGUAUCAGUCUGUUUGUCACUCUCUGUUUCAUUCUUAUACAUUCAGUUAAUGACCCGUAGAUUGACGAUCAAAUAGAACUAUGUUCUGGCAGCUAGAGACACAGGUUUGAAGAUCAAAUAGAACUAUGUUCUGGCAGCUAGA